rnacentral:rRNA from 1 species
UACAGGGGGUGCAAACGUUGCUCGGAAUUGUUGGGCGUAAAGCGCGCGUAGGCGGCUACUUAAGUCGGAUGUGAAAGCCCUUGGCUCAACUGAGGAAGUGCACCCGAAACUGAGUGGCUUGAGUACUAAAGAGGGUCGCGGAAUUCCCGGUGUAGAGGUGAAAUUCGUAGAUAUCGGGAGGAACACCGGUGGCGAAGGCGGCGACCUGGGUAGAUACUGACGCUGAGGCGCGAAAGCGUGGGGAGCAAACAGG